rnacentral:rRNA from 1 species
CAUGCAGUCGAGCGGUAGAGAGAAGCUUGCUUCUCUUGAGAGCGGCGGACGGGUGAGUAAUGCCUAGGAAUCUGCCUGGUAGUGGGGGAUAACGUUCGGAAACGGACGCUAAUACCGCAUACGUCCUACGGGAGAAAGCAGGGGACCUUCGGGCCUUGCGCUAUCAGAUGAGCCUAGGUCGGAUUAGCUAGUUGGUGAGGUAAUGGCUCACCAAGGCUACGAUCCGUAACUGGUCUGAGAGGAUGAUCAGUCACACUGGAACUGAGACACGGUCCAGACUCCUACGGGAGGCAGCAGUGGGGAAUAUUGGACAAUGGGCGAAAGCCUGAUCCAGCCAUGCCGCGUGUGUGAAGAAGGUCUUCGGAUUGUAAAGCACUUUAAGUUGGGAGGAAGGGCAGUUACCUAAUACGUGAUUGUUUUGACGUUACCGACAGAAUAAGCACCGGCUAACUCUGUGCCAGCAGCCGCGGUAAUACAGAGGGUGCAAGCGUUAAUCGGAAUUACUGGGCGUAAAGCGCGCGUAGGUGGUUUGUUAAGUUGGAUGUGAAAUCCCCGGGCUCAACCUGGGAACUGCAUUCAAAACUGACUGACUAGAGUGUGGUAGAGGGUGGUGGAAUUUCCUGUGUAGCGGUGAAAUGCGUAGAUAUAGGAAGGAACACCAGUGGCGAAGGCGACCACCUGGACCAACACUGACACUGAGGUGCGAAAGCGUGGGGAGCAAACAGGAUUAGAUACCCUGGUAGUCCACGCCGUAAACGAUGUCAACUAGCCGUUGGGAGCCUUGAGCUCUUAGUGGCGCAGCUAACGCAUUAAGUUGACCGCCUGGGGAGUACGGCCGCAAGGUUAAAACUCAAAUGAAUUGACGGGGCCCGCACAAGCGGUGGAGCAUGU